GAUGAACGCUAGCGGCAGGCCUAACACAUGCAAGUCGAGGGGUAACAUAGAAAAGCUUGCUUUUCUGAUGACGACCGGCGCACGGGUGCGUAACGCGUAUACAACCUACCUUUUAGCGGGGAAUAGCCCAGGGAAACUUGGACUAAUGCCCCAUAGUAUAUAGACUUCUCCUGAAGUUUAUAUUAAACAUUUAUGGCUAUUAGAUGGGUAUGCGUCCUAUUAGUUAGUUGGUAAGGUAACGGCUUACCAAGGCAGCGAUAGGUAGGGGUCCUGAGAGGGAGAUCCCCACACUGGUACUGAGACACGGACCAGACUCCUACGGGAGGCAGCAGUGAGGAAUAUUGGACAAUGGGCGAGAGCCUGAUCCAGCCAUGCCGCGUGCAGGAAGACUGCCCUAUGGGUUGUAAACUGCUUUUACAGAGGAAGAACCACCCCCACGUGUGGGGGUUUGACGGUACUCUGCGAAUAAGGAUCGGCUAACUCCGUG
rnacentral:rRNA from 1 species